rnacentral:lncRNA from 1 species
CCAUGUUCUUAAAGUAAAAAUCGAAAACCCUAAUGCUAAACCAAGGUGGUUUAAUUCUAAUUCUAAUCCUAAUUGUCUUUGGUUUAAAUUAAAUGAAAGCCCAAUAACCAAACCCUUACAAAGUAAUUAAAUUAAACCAACAAGCUGGUUUAUCUUGAUCUCCUUGCCUUGAACCAAGGCCCACGGUUUUGGCUAUCUCCUGGAGCCUCUCCUCUUGUGCUCUCAGUCUUGAUCUGGUUACUGGUCCACUCCACAAGCUGGCUAGCUCAUUUGGUUCUUC